CUAUCUUUCUCUCUCUUCCCCGCACUAUUUCAGAGAUAUGAAUAUCACUUAAAAUAAAAGCACAUAUUAUUUCUCAUAUCUUUGAAUUGAUUCUCAAAGAUAUGGUGCGUUCUAAGAAAGUGCAACAUGUGGGUUCCAAAGAAGCAAGAAAGACCAUCAGGCAGGCUCGGGAAAAAAAAAAAGAAUAAGGGACCAAGUUGAACGAGCACCUUUUGGUAUAAGAAAGAGAUAUCUAAAGUUAGAUGCAUCAACUAUCAAGGCUUAGGCCAUAAUUGGAGGACUUGCAAAAGAGCACUUAUGAGGAAGAAGUGGGAGGUCUAGAAAAGGGAAUCAUGGUACAAACACACAACCCGAUAGAGUUACAGGUGGUAGUAUAUAAGCUAAUGGAGUUACAUACUCUAUCAUCUCAUAGUUUAAUUAAGAAAACUCAUCACAACAUCAAGGCUGAUCAAGAAUCAGCAACUUUUUUGCCACAUUUUUGUUUGGUGUAAUGUGGUAAUUUUUUGGUCGAUGAAUUUAAAUGUCAUUAGAAUCAUUUUUUUAUUA